AGUGAACGCUGGCGGUAGGCCUAACACAUGCAAGUCGAACGGCAGCACAGUAAGAGCUUGCUCUUACGGGUGGCGAGUGGCGGACGGGUGAGGAAUACAUCGGAAUCUACUUUUUCGUGGGGGAUAACGUAGGGAAACUUACGCUAAUACCGCAUACGACCUACGGGUGAAAGCAGGGGAUCUUCGGACCUUGCGCGAUUGAAUGAGCCGAUGUCGGAUUAGCUAGUUGGCGGGGUAAAGGCCCACCAAGGCGACGAUCCGUAGCUGGUCUGAGAGGAUGAUCAGCCACACUGGAACUGAGACACGGUCCAGACUCCUACGGGAGGCAGCAGUAGGGAAUAUUGGACAAUGGGCGCAAGCCUGAUCCAGCCAUACCGCGUGAGUGAAGAAGGCCUUCGGGUUGUAAAGCCCUGUUGUUGGGAAAGAAAAGAAGCAGGUUAAUACCCGGAUGUUCUGACGGUACCCAAAGAAUAAGCACCGGCUAACUUCGUG
rnacentral:rRNA from 1 species